GGUCCUACGGGACGCAGCAGUGGGGAAUAUUGCACAAUGGGGGAAACCCUGAUGCAGCGACGCCGCGUGAGUGAAGAAGUAUUUCGGUAUGUAAAGCUCUAUCAGCAGGGAAGAUAAUGACGGUACCUGAGUAAGAAGCCCCGGCUAACUACGUGCCAGCAGCCGCGGUAAUACGUAGGGGGCAAGCGUUAUCCGGAUUUACUGGGUGUAAAGGGAGCGUAGACGGCAUGGCAAGUCUGAUGUGAAAGCCCGGGGCUCAACCCCGGGACUGCAUUGGAAACUACCGAACUAGAGGGUCGGAGAGG
rnacentral:rRNA from 1 species